rnacentral:rRNA from 1 species
UACACGGAGAGUUUGAUCCUGGCUCAGAAUGAACGCUGGCGGCGUGCUUGACACAUGCAAGUCGAACGGACUUAGAUCCUUCGGGGUCAAAAGUUAGUGGCGCACGGGUGAGUAACGCGUGGGUAACCUACCCUUGAGUUUGGAAUAACCCUCCGAAAGGAGUGCUAAUACCAAAUAUGACCACGUCUACUACGGUAGAUGAGGUAAAAGGAGGCUCAGCAAUGGGCUUUCGCUUGAGGACGGGCCCGCGUGACAUUAGAUUGAUGGUGGGGUAACGGCUCACCAUAUUGUCUACGAUGUCUAGCUGGUCUGAGAGGAUGAUCAGCCACACUGGGACUGGAACACGGCCCAGACUCCUACGGGAGGCAGCAGUGAGGAAUUAUUCGCAAUGGGGGAAACCCUGACGGUGCAACGCCGCGUGAGUGAAGAAGGCAAUUUGUUGUAAAGCUCUGUCGUAAGGCAAGAAGCUAUUUGCGUGAUAACCGCAGGUAGUUGACGUAACCUUAGAAGGAAGCCCCGGCUAACUCCGUGCCAGCAGCCGCGGUAAUACGGAGGGGGCAAGCGUUAUUCGGAAUCAUUGGGUGUAAAGCGCAUGCAGGCGGUAUGGUGUGUCAGGUGUGAAAGCUCGAGGCUCAACCUCGAAAGUGCAUUUGAAACUGCCUUACUUGAGUCUCGGAGAGGAAAGUGGAAUUCCCAGUGUAAAGGUGGAAUUUGUAGAUAUUGGGAGGAACACCGGUGGCGAAAGCGACUUUCUGGACGAUGACUGACGCUCAGAUGCGAAAGCGUGGGGAGCAAACAGGAUUAGAUACCCUGGUAGUCCACGCUGUAAACG